UACGUAGGGUGCGAGCGUUGUCCGGAAUUAUUGGGCGUAAAGAGCUUGUAGGCGGUCUGUCGCGGCUGCUGUGAAAAUCCGGGGCUCAACCCCGGACUUGCAGUGGGUACGGGCAGACUAGAGUGUGGUAGGGGAGACUGGAAUUCCUGGUGUAGCGGUGAAAUGCGCAGAUAUCAGGAGGAACACCGAUGGCGAAGGCAGGUCUCUGGGCCACUACUGACGCUGGAGAAG
rnacentral:rRNA from 1 species